rnacentral:lncRNA from 1 species
AUUGGUUGCCGAAAUAUGCUGGUCAAGCACCUCUCAUAGUUCUGUUAGGGGAUCUUCCUGAUCCAGGGAUCCAACCCGUAUCUCCUGUGUCUCCUGCAUUAGCAGGUGGAUUCUCUGCAACUAGCACCAUCUUUCAUUAAGCUUAAAUGACAACAUGCCAGCUGUCAGAUGGAGAAAAGCAGGAAACUUUGGCAUUGCUAUUCCUGCCACCUUUACCACGGAGUCCCUAUAAAUAGCACAAUAGGAUAAACCCGCCACAGAGGGAGAGCAGCAGGUGGCACUCGCUGUAGCAAGAGCUGAAGGUGUAAAUGAAUUUCAAUGUCUUCAUGAUACCAAACAACAAUCAGAUAACAGAGAAUGAAGCUUUUGUUAUGGGAGAGUCCAAUAUUUCAAGAAAAUAAUAAUGAUGGUGAUACUUUUCAUUAUCAUGCAGCGUCCCCUUUGUAAGAGGUUUCAAAGAAGAAAGCACCUUGUUUUCAC